rnacentral:lncRNA from 1 species
GUCGAUUUCACUGUGACGGAGAUCAAGUAAUAGAAAGUAAAAGUCAAGAGAAUAUAAUUGUUCAUUCAUCAGGAUAGAGGUGCAUCUUGCGGCUUCUCAUUAUCAGUGCAACAGCCCUAGCGAUCGGCUGCAGGUUGUUUCACACGGCUGAAAACAUAGAAAGUAUUGCGUUUUUGUGAAGAGGUGACAGUCAAGAAACGAAAAGUGGGAUUAAUGGAUCGUAACACACCACAGAAAAGCAAUAACGACGUGACUUGGAUAAUCUGCCAUGAGACGAGAUGUCACGUCGAGACCUAAUAUCUUGGUCGGCUCACGAAUGUCGUCCAAACUAAAAUAUGUCGCCAGUCACCGAAUAAGAUCCGAUGCGGUACAUUCCAUAGGAAUUCUUGAAUUUUAGAGCCAGAGUGAGUUCUUAUAUGCGUGAUGUUUGCGAGAAAAUAAGAAAAGAAGAUAGAAGAUGAAGAAAUAAAGGAGGAGAAGAGGUAGAGAGAAUGAACCGAUCACGUUUCGACGUUUGACGGGAUUCGAUUAUUCUGUGUGUAGCUUCUUUUCCCUCUUGAGAACAUCUGCCUGCAUUCUGCAAGAAGUGCUAUCGCGUACUUGGCAAGUUGCAGGGAAGCGGAAAAGGUGAAAAACGUAUAGUCAACAUCAAAGAAUCAAGUCAACUGUGUGCGUGUUCAUGCUGGUGAUGCAGCCAAAGAGAAACAUUUCGCGAUACAAGGGACAGGACAUUUUUCAAGAGCUCCCUUGACACUAAUAAAGAUUCCAGAGUUGGUGGGCAUGUAGACGCGCCUCCUGUUGACGAACACAACAUAGUGGAGUGUCUCACUUUCUUCACAGCAUCCAUAUGUCCUUGUAAGCAAGAGCUCCUGGUGUAUCUCUUCAAGUGUCGUCGUAAUAUUGGCUAGGGAGGAUGAAAGAGAAAGGAAACAAUGUAUAAGUUUCAUUCCUGUUUAAGGUUUAAGUGAAACCAUCACACGUGAUCCUUCAAAACCACCGACAUCUCCAACUGUCAAAUGGAGAAUGUUUUCUGUUUUGAAUAGAAAAUAUUUCCUAUUAUUUACCCAUGUUAAUAAUGGGAACUUAGCUCCAAGUGGACCAGUUAUUUUGUACGCAUUUAAAUGAGCUUUUAAUUUGGUGUGACGCCAGAUAUUUGAUUUAACGAGCCGAAGCUCAAGAAGACCAAGCCCUGACUAUGAAUAAUAUUAAAG